GAAAUGCGAUAAGUAGUGUGAAUUGCAGAAUUCAGUGAAUCAUCGAAUCUUUGAACGCACCUUGCGCCCUAUGGUAUUCCGUAGGGCAUGCCUGUUCGAGCGUCAUUUACACCUUCAAGCCUUGCUUGGUGUUGGGUGACUGUGGCCCCUUUGGGGCCACUCGCCUUAAAGUCAUUGGCGGCCGGUUCGUUGGCUUUGUAGCGCAGCACAAUUGCGUCCUCGAAGCCGCUGGACCAGCUCCCAGAAGCUAAUUUUAAAUGUUUGACCUCGAAUCAGGUAGGGAUACCCGCUGAACUUAAGC
rnacentral:misc_RNA from 1 species